CCUACGGGAGGCAGCAGUGGGGAAUAUUGCACAAUGGGCGCAAGCCUGAUGCAGCCAUGCCGCGUGUGUGAAGAAGGCCUUCGGGUUGUAAAGCACUUUCAGCGGGGAGGAAGGCGGUGAGGUUAAUAACCUCAUCGAUUGACGUUACCCGCAGAAGAAGCACCGGCUAACUCCGUGCCAGCAGCCGCGGUAAUACGGAGGGUGCAAGCGUUAAUCGGAAUUACUGGGCGUAAAGCGCACGCAGGCGGUCUGUCAAGUCGGAUGUGAAAUCCCCGGGCUCAACCUGGGUACUGCAUUCGAAACUGGCAGGCUAGAGUCUUGUAGAGGGGGGUAGAAUUCCAGGUGUAGCGGUGAAAUGCGUAGAGAUCUGGAGGAAUACCGGUGGCGAAGGCGGCCCCCUGGACAAAGACUGACGCUCAGGUGCGAAAGCGUGGGGAGCAAACAGGAUUAGAUACCCCUGUAGUC
rnacentral:rRNA from 1 species